rnacentral:rRNA from 1 species
AGGCUUUGAUCCUGGCUCAGGAUGAACGCUAGCGGCAGGCUUAAUACAUGCAAGUCGAACGGCAAGGGACUUUCGGGUCCCCUAGAGUGGCGCACGGGUGAGUAACACGUACACAACAUGCCCUUUACAGGAAUAUAGCCCCGGGAAACUGGGAGUAAUGGUCCAUAGUAUUAUUGAUAGGCAUCUAUUGAUAAUUAAAGCUUUGGCGGUAAAGGAUUGGUGUGCGUCCCAUUAGGUAGUUGGCGGGGUAAUGGCCCACCAAGCCGACGAUGGGUAGCUGGCGUGAGAGCGCGACCAGCCACACUGGAACUGAGACACGGUCCAGACUCCUACGGGAGGCAGCAGUAGGGAAUAUUGGACAAUGGGCGCAAGCCUGAUCCAGCCAUGCCGCGUGGAGGAAGACGGCCCUCUGGGUUGUAAACUCCUUUUAUACGGGAAGAAACCUCUUCAUUUAUGAGUGAGCUGACGGUACCGUAAGUAAUAGCACCGGCGUACAUCCGUC